CCCAGGUGUUCUAGGGUAUCCCUAUAACCCCAAGGGGUGGAGACAGGAACAGCAUAAAUAUACAACUGGAUGGUAGAUGUGGGUCUGCUGUGCCAGAAGAUGAAGAUGAAACAGCUGUAAGCUACUGGAAGCUGGGACAGCCACGUGACCCACGGCCUCUGGGUGCACCCCGGUCCCUUAGGCCCGAGGUCCUUCCUUGAUUCU
rnacentral:lncRNA from 1 species